AUUGAACGCUGGCGGCAUGCCUUACACAUGCAAGUCGAACGGCAGCACGGGUGCUUGCACCUGGUGGCGAGUGGCGAACGGGUGAGUAAUACAUCGGAACAUGUCCUGUAGUGGGGGAUAGCCCGGCGAAAGCCGGAUUAAUACCGCAUACGAUCUACGGAUGAAAGCGGGGGACCUUCGGGCCUCGCGCUGUAGGGUUGGCCGAUGGCUGAUUAGCUAGUUGGUGGGGUAAAGGCCUACCAAGGCGACGAUCAGUAGCUGGUCGGAGAGGACGACCAGCCACACUGGGACUGAGACACGGCCCAGACUCCUACGGGAGGCAGCAGUGGGGAAUGUUGGACAAUGGGCGAAAGCCUGAUCCAGCAAUGCCGCGUGUGUGAAGAAGGCCUUCGGGUUGUAAAGCACUUUUGUCCGGAAAGAAAUCCUUGGCCCUAAUACGGUCGGGGGAUGACGGUACCGGAAGAAUAAGCACCGGCUAACUACGUG
rnacentral:rRNA from 1 species